AACAAAAGCGACCUGAAUCCGUGGGACCAAGACCAUAAAUAUCAGGGAGAGCUGCAAGGGGCUGUGUGCAACUGCUUGCACCACAAGAAGCGGGAGAGACCGUCUAGACUUGCAGUGGCAGGAGAAAUUCUGGCAAAGUUCUUGAAUGUGAGCCGACCCACAGAUACUGACGGCCAGCACGAUCCAAAAUCUAACUCUAUGAGGAGAGAGGGGAACCAGGAAGCCUAGAACCAGAAGCUGAAGACUAAAGCUCCCAGCGCCUACUGAACCACCCCAUCCCAAAUCUCCUUGUCAAGAUGGCAACUUUAUUCAGAAGGGGGCUUCCAAGGUUAAACAGAGCUAUUGAAGAAGAAAUCAUCCCUCACGCCUCCACCACAGGCCCAAAGAAGAACUAUAAGAGGAUCCUUUGGAAAAUGAGAUUGAAUUUUGCUCUUGUGGCUACAAGGAAUAGAACCAGCAUCAAGGUUUAAGUUCCUAUGAAAGCAGAACCUGAAAGGAAGACUUGAGUUAAUUUAAGAGGUGAUCACGGUGAACAGAAGUGAUGGAAUCAGAAGAAUAAAACAGAAAAUCCAAUAAAGUUGGAUUAUGA